GUAGCCGUAUAUGUAUGAUAUUUUUUUCUCAACAUUGAUUUGUUUUUUUUUUUUCCGUAAUACCGGAUAAGCGGUAAAACAAAUCGAUAGCGAUAAACGUUCCCGAAAUAAACUGACGCGUUUUAUGCGGACCAUAAAAAUAUUAUACAGUGAAAAUGCCGAAAAUCAUUACCGAUACAAUGUUAUGGGGUCGACCUCUGGACAUCGGGUCGACACGGUUCUGACCGGAUUGCUUUAUCGCGAACACACGCACGCAGCGGCGUAUACACGAUAACCGUG